UUAGCUGAGCAGUCGUUGUCUCCAAAGUUCAUCAGAGUUGAUGAGGUAGCUAUUUGACAUUCGCAGGACCUGACUACUCCUUCUAUUUCAGUUUUAUUGAUAUAUACUUUUCCAGACUUGUGUAUUUUCGUUCAAAUAAUUGUCAUCCAGUUUAUAUUAGAGGCUCUAGACUCGUGACCCCAGAUCUUGUGGGAAUGUUUUAUCGGAUAUCAUAUGUC
rnacentral:lncRNA from 1 species